rnacentral:rRNA from 1 species
AGUUUGAUCCUGGCUCAGAUUGAACGCUGGCGGCAUGCCUUACACAUGCAAGUCGAACGGCAGCACGGGGGCAACCCUGGUGGCGAGUGGCGAACGGGUGAGUAAUACAUCGGAACGUGUCCUGUAGUGGGGGAUAGCCCGGCGAAAGCCGGAUUAAUACCGCAUACGCUCUACGGAGGAAAGGGGGGGAUCUUAGGACCUCCCGCUACAGGGGCGGCCGAUGGCAGAUUAGCUAGUUGGUGGGGUAAAGGCCUACCAAGGCGACGAUCUGUAGCUGGUCUGAGAGGACGACCAGCCACACUGGGACUGAGACACGGCCCAGACUCCUACGGGAGGCAGCAGUGGGGAACUUUGGACAAUGGGGGCAACCCUGAUCCAGCAAUGCCGCGUGUGUGAAGAAGGCCUUCGGGUUGUAAAGCACUUUUGUCCGGAAAGAAAACGCCGUGGUUAAUACCCGUGGCGGAUGACGGUACCGGAAGAAUAAGCACCGGCUAACUACGUGCCAGCAGCCGCGGUAAUACGUAGGGUGCAAGCGUUAAUCGGAAUUACUGGGCGUAAAGCGUGCGCAGGCGGUCCGCUAAGACAGAUGCGAAAUCCCCGGGCUUAACCUGGGAACUGCAUUUGUGACUGGCGGGCUAGAGUAUGGCAGAGGGGGGUAGAAUUCCACGUGUAGCAGUGAAAUGCGUAGAGAUGUGGAGGAAUACCGAUGGCGAAGGCAGCCCCCUGGGCCAAUACUGACGCUCAUGCACGAAAGCGUGGGGAGCAAACAGGAUUAGAUACCCUGGUAGUCCACGCCCUAAACGAUGUCAACUAGUUGUCGGGUCUUCAUUGACUUGGUAACGUAGCUAACGCGUGAAGUUGACCGCCUGGGGAGUACGGUCGCAAGAUUAAAACUCAAAGGAAUUGACGG